rnacentral:rRNA from 1 species
UUUAUUGGAGAGUUUGAUCCUGGCUCAGGACGAACGCUGGCGGCAUGCCUAAUACAUGCAAGUCGAGCGGACUUGAAGAGAAGCUUGCUUCUCUGAUGGUUAGCGGCGGACGGGUGAGUAACACGUAGGCAACCUGCCCUCAAGCUUGGGACAACUACCGGAAACGGUAGCUAAUACCGAAUACUUGUUUUCUUCGCCUGAAGGGAACUGGAAAGACGGAGCAAUCUGUCACUUGGGGAUGGGCCUGCGGCGCAUUAGCUAGUUGGUGAGGUAACGGCUCACCAAGGCGACGAUGCGUAGCCGACCUGAGAGGGUGAUCGGCCACACUGGGACUGAGACACGGCCCAGACUCCUACGGGAGGCAGCAGUAGGGAAUCUUCCGCAAUGGGCGAAAGCCUGACGGAGCAAUGCCGCGUGAGUGAUGAAGGUUUUCGGAUCGUAAAGCUCUGUUGCCAGGGAAGAACGCUUGGGAGAGUAACUGCUCUCAAGGUGACGGUACCUGAGAAGAAAGCCCCGGCUAACUACGUGCCAGCAGCCGCGGUAAUACGUAGGGGGCAAGCGUUGUCCGGAAUUAUUGGGCGUAAAGCGCGCGCAGGCGG